rnacentral:rRNA from 1 species
UACGGAGGGUGCAAGCGUUAUCCGGAAUCACUGGGUUUAAAGGGUGCGUAGGCGGUGGCGUAAGUCAGUUGUGAAAUUCCCCGGCUUAACCGGCGGGACUGCGAUUGAUACUGCGUUACUUGAAUCAGGUUGAGGUAGGCGGAAUGUGACAUGUAGCGGUGAAAUGCUUAGAGAUCCGGAGGAACACCAGUGGCGAAGGCGACACGCUGGGCCGUACCUGACACUGAACCGCGACAGCAUGGGGAGCAAACAGG